GGUGGGAUAGCUAAACGGUGAAGCGGUAGACUGUUAAUCUAUGAUAGCUGGGUUCGAGUCCCAGUCCCACCGCCA
rnacentral:tRNA from 1 species